rnacentral:lncRNA from 1 species
CAGAGGCAGUGAGGCGCCAGCGCCGCGACCGCUGCGAGGUCAGCACGGCCAAAAACAGACAUAACUAAUGCAAAUGCUAAACAGGGCUAAAGGUGAAGAAUGGCCGCGUCUCCUGAGUCCUGAUGGAGUGACGCGAAACGGAGCUGUUCUGAGAAACGAGUGCAGGAUGAAUGUGUUAUCGGCUGUGCUAAUGGUGCUCGGGACGCAGAUAUCCGAGACCGGCACCCAACUUUGGGCUUCUCAGAGACUGGCCGAUCAAUCCUGCCAGCACGUCAAACAGAGAGCAGUGAUCGUAUCAUGCAUCAUCUCUGGAUCCUUUCUUCUAGAAAUACAAGAAGGAUGGAGGGAGAAAAGAGUAGGGAUAAACAGAAGGAGAGCGGCAGAGCGAGUAUCAGGUGUGAGCUCUGGCUCGACUGGCCCCAGGUGCUCUGAGCUUCUUCCUUUGACCCAUUGACACACUCACACACUGCUGCUCAGACUGGCCCGACAACUCCAUUAAGAUACUUGGGAUCUCAGAUCUUCUACAGACUACAAUUUCAACAUGGACUGAGUCUGUUUCCUAACAACUUAAACUAAAGGUUCUCAUCUAAGGAGACAACAAGCGGUCGGUCUGUUUUAAUUUGAACUAUGUUGAGUACAUUAAUGGAUAACAAUUACUAACAUUUACAAUAAAAUGUACAAUUGUUUGUAUUGUUUAUUGAUAAGAAUAGCCUGUAAAUAACACGAGGCUCUGCGACGUCUGCAGUGUGGAGGAUGGAAUUGAGGUAUUCAGUCAUAAAGAGUGGGUUUUUGGCAAAUUUUGGAUGAAUAAAACAAAAGUGGUAAAGUACACCAAAUAAAAUCAUGAUAUGAACUAAUGUCUGUGAAUAUUAAAUGUUAAAAAUACUAUUUAAAUAGGAGUUAUGCUUAUGUGUGAAUGAAUUAUGUGGUCAUUUAUUACACAUACCUGACGCUUGUGGUAUUUUCAAGGUCUUAAGUUCACACCAUAAGGGCCACAUUACAAGCAUUUAACAGUUUAAUUCAAACACACACAAUGAUUUUUUAUACAUAAAGAACUCAAGUGUCUUAGUGACAGCCUGUCAAAUUAAAAAUUGUGGUUGAAGAAAUUCUGACAGAAAUAGAUGACUGGAGUAUAAUGUGGCACUGAAGACUGGAAUAAUGAUGCCAACAGUUCAGCUUUGACAUCUCAAGGCUAAAUUACAUUUGAAAACAUAUUAAAACAUAUUUUACAUUCUAUUUAUGAUUCUCAUUGUUUUAUUCUCCUUGUUAAUCAAAUAAUGCUUUGGUGACACUCCAAAAUCCAAAUGGAAUUGUAUAUUAUUUAGAAUACAAUUUUUUUUAGAAUCCUAUGUAAACAGUUUCAUAGAAAAUUGCAAAAGCCCUAAUAUAGUAGCACUGCAAUCAUAUUGACACUGCACAGAUAUUGGAAUCUCAUGCAUGCUGCUUAAUUACUAAUGCUCACUCUUUUCCCAAAC